GCAAAACACAGAUUAUAAAGAAAGGGAUGUUUAAAUAAUGAGAAAAUGACACUUCAUAAUAAUCCCAAGCUUAUAUAUAUAUAAAUUGUACAUAAUGAACCCUGCUCCCUGUCUCGGGUCAGGGUCAGGGACAGGGGUGCCACGUGGCGCCCCCUAUUGGAGGGGCGCCUGCCACGUGGCGCCCCUGGCCGGCGCCCCUCCAAUAGGGGGGCACCACGUGGUGCCCGUCUUUCUCCCUGUCCCUGACCCGGGACAGGGAGAAUUAUUCUGUACUUAAUAGACAUGAAAAAGAAAGAAAGAAAAGACAUAAAUUGUCAAGAAUUUACAGAUUAUUCCACUGCUUGAGGCAUUAUCAGCUUCAAAUUUUCUUGGAGAAAGCCUUCAAUUCUUCUUCUGAUGGAUCGAAAGGGGUGCAUUUGUAGGACGAUAAUCAUACUUAAAAGCUUCUUCUUCUUCUUCUUUUUUUUUUUGGUCACUUUUUCUGCUAAAAAUUUACUUCUAAGCACGAUGAAACUGAGAAUUGAAAAAUUCCUUCACUCCCUGAAUUUAAUUGAGAAGGAUCUGUGAAUCUGACAAUUUAUUUUCAUUUUCUUCGAUUUUUUCCUGCUAACAAGAAAGUUAAGAAAGGAUUAUGUUGAUUAUAAGAGACAGAAAGAGAUAAAAACAGUAAUUAAGAAAGAAAAUGAAUGUUUUAGCUGCAGAGAUGAUGAUGGUGGCGGCGGAGAAUGGUAGUAGUACGGAAAGUAGGGCACAACUGGAUUUGGAGGGGGCCGCGUUGGCCCUGAAGGGUAGCUUUUGUAGGGUGGAGGGUAAUAAUAUCCAGUGGCACCACCUGGAGGUGAAGGUGGUGGUGGGGAGUUGUAGUAGCUGCCUGAGCUAGGAGGAGACGGCGGUGGAGGACACUUGAUAGUAGUGGAAGGUGGCGGCGGUGAGGGCGGUGGUGGUGAAGGAGAUGGUGGCGCUGACAGCGGCGGUGACGGAGUGUUGCAUGGAUUAUCACAGGCAGAACACAUUGUGCAUUCAAUUUGAUACUUCGAUCCCACCCAUGUAGAAUUUGCAGCUACCAAGAACUCACUUUUUGAAGCUAAUAAUAUCAUAAAAACGGUAAGAACUGAGAAUUUCACUAUCAGAAUUUUCUCCAUUUCCUAAAUCCCACAAAGAUGUAGGAAUUCAGUGAUAGAUUUUAUUUUUUUCCUUGUGGAAAUUAAGAAAAUAAUUUAGGAAUCAAGAAAUGGGAGAGAGAAAUUGUGUAUCCGAUGAAAGUAUAGUAGCAGAGAGGUAAUAAAGAACGAAGGUGAGUGGAGAGAGAGAGAGAGAGAGAGAGAGAGAGAGAGAGAGUACUACUUUAUAGCACUUUUACUUGGAAUCAAAACGUUGCACCGACACCUUUUAC
rnacentral:lncRNA from 1 species